rnacentral:rRNA from 1 species
CUACGGGUUGCUGCAGUGGGGAAUAUUGCACAAUGGAGGAAACUCUGAUGCAGCAACGCCGCGUGGAGGAUGACACUUUUCGGAGCGUAGACUCCUUUUAUAUAGGAAGAAGAUGACGGUACUAUAUGAAUAAGCGCCGGCUAACUCCGUGCCAGCAGCCGCGGUAAUACGGAGGGCGCAAGCGUUACUCGGAAUCACUGGGCGUAAAGAGCGUGUAGGCGGAUUAAAAAGUCAGAAGUGAAAUCCUAUAGCUUAACUAUAGAACUGCUUCUGAAACUCUUAAUCUAGAAUAUGGGAGAGGUAGAUGGAAUUUCUGGUGUAGGGGUAAAAUCCGUAGAGAUCAGAAGGAAUACCGAUUGCGAAGGCGAUCUACUAGAACAUUAUUGACGCUGAGACGCGAAAGCGUGGGGAGCAAACAGGAUUAGAUACCCUAGUAGUC